rnacentral:tRNA from 1 species
AACUUCUAAAAAAUGUUUUGAAAACAUUACUAUAGAAUAUACUUCUAGGAGUUUU